UCGUUUUCCCUCCUUCUCACUCUGCCCUCUCAACUCGACCUAGAACCCGUGAAACUGAAAAACUCAAAACACUAGCCUCUUUCCUCCUCAUCAGCUCUCUCAGAUCUCGAUUCUCACUCUCUCCUUCAUCUUCUCACUCCCUCGAUUCUCCUUCUUAGUCUCUCCUUCUUCUUCUUAGUCUCUACUUCAUCUUUCGCGUCCAGAUUGUUGGAGCUCUCCAGCAACCAGUAAAGUUGUUUUCGAUUCGGAUUAUAGAUGGCUUAUAUUCAAAAAGGAGUUUGACAGCAGCUAUGUGAGAUUUAUGAAGGAUGGAGCUAAGUGCUUGGUAGAGAACACUGAAAUCCUUUUUUGUUAUGCAGCUAUCUCAAGUGGCUAGAUUUGUGAAAUACAAAGUGGGUGUUAGCAAUUGGAAUUUGAUUUGUUGUAGCAGUUGAUUGGCUUUAUUAGCUGCUGAAACCCAAGGCUUGAGGAAUUGAUUACUUAUAUGCUGCUGCAUAUGAUGAUUUGAUUCCAUCUCACCUUGUUUUGCUAGAGGGCAGGGGAAACUUGGUGGUACAAAAUGAUUUGCGAAGGAAGGCUCACUGCUAGUAGUGUAGUGGAGAAAAACAGAAGGCUUGUUUGUCUAAAUUUUUGGUGAGUCUUCAAUGUUUGUGCUCUAUACAUAUAUGUAUUCAGCAACUAGCUAAUUAUCCUUUUGUUCAUAUCUUUGCCUACACAUAAUAAUUAUAUGUUUACUGCUAUCUAGUUGAGUAUAAUCAUAAGCUCAUUUUAAUUCCUUGAUAGAAUAUUGUAUUUGUAUAAUAAAAGUAUGAGCAUGGUAUGCAAUCUGAACAUUAGAUUUGGCAUGGAUCGAUGUAAUUGUUGCAGCUACAUGUAAAUGAACUUGUAUGUGAUAAGACCACUCUUAGCAGUGCUAGUCUUAACAAGUAUAUUGUAUAGUAAAAGUAUGAGCAUGUUAAGCAAUGUUACUUUAAGAAUCAGCAUGUAUUUGAGUGUGUUUUGUUAUAUAUG
rnacentral:lncRNA from 1 species